UCUGCCUAGUAGUGGGGGACAACGUUUCGAAAGGAACGCUAAUACCGCAUACGUCCUACGGGAGAAAGUGGGGGAUCUUCGGACCUCACGCUAUUAGAUGAGCCUAGGUCGGAUUAGCUAGUUGGUAGGGUAAAGGCCUACCAAGGCGACGAUCCGUAACUGGUCUGAGAGGAUGAUCAGUCACACUGGAACUGAGACACGGUCCAGACUCCUACGGGAGGCAGCAGUGGGGAAUAUUGGACAAUGGGCGAAAGCCUGAUCCAGCCAUGCCGCGUGUGUGAAGAAGGCCCUCGGGUCGUAAAGCACUUUAAGUUGGGAGGAAGGGCUCAUAGCGAAUACCUGUGAGUUUUGACGUUACCAACAGAAUAAGCACCGGCUAACUUCGUGCCAGCAGCCGCGGUAAUACGAAGGGUGCAAGCGUUAAUCGGAAUUACUGGGCGUAAAGCGCGCGUAGGUGGCUUGAUAAGUUGGAUGUGAAAUCCCCGGGCUCAACCUGGGAACUGCAUCCAAAACUGUCUGGCUAGAGUGCGGUAGAGGGUAGUGGAAUUUCCAGUGUAGCGGUGAAAUGCGUAGAUAUUGGAAGGAACACCAGUGGCGAAG
rnacentral:rRNA from 1 species